AUACGGAGGGUGCAAGCGUUACUCGGAAUCACUGGGCGUAAAGCGCGCGCAGGCGGCUAUUUAAGUUGGAUGUGAAAGCCUACGGCUCAACCGUAGAACUGCAUCCAAAACUAUUUAGCUAGAGUGUGGGAGAGGAAGAUGGAAUUAGUUGUGUAGGGGUAAAAUCCGUAGAGAUAACUAGGAAUACCAAAAGCGAAGGCAAUCUUCUUGAACACUACUGACGCUGAGGCGCGAAAGCGUGGGGAGCAAACAGGAUUAGAUACCCUAGUAGUCC
rnacentral:rRNA from 1 species